UAUCGGUCUCUCUCCCUCACUCAAUCACACUGUUGACUUCUUCUUCCCCAAAUGCACAAAGUAUGAAAACACUUCCCCCAAAUCAGAAUUUCAAUCGCCUCCCCCCUUCACACCUUGCUGCCGUCGACCAGCCGCCACUGUCGCGCCGCCGCGGCUUCCCCUUCUCUCUUUCUCUUCUCUCCCUUUCUCUCUCUUUCCCUCUCUCCCUCUCUCUUCACCGUACCGCCGCCGCCACGAAUCCGCCACCGCCGGCAUGCACCGCCUCGCCGCCCCUCCGACAGAAAUUUCAGAUUUGAAAGGAAUGAAGACAGUGUCGAGCUUUCUACC